GCUCAGUUGGUUGAGUGUCUGACUCCUGAUUUCAGCUCAGGUCAUGGUCCCAGGUUGUGGGAUUGAGCCCCUCAUUGGGCU
rnacentral:tRNA from 1 species